CCUGACCUCAAACACUUCCUAGCUGUGGGACCCUGGGCAAGUCACUUAACCCCCAUUAUCUAGCCCUUACCACUCUUCUGCCUUGCAGUCAAUACUUAGUAUUGAUUCUAAGAUGUAAGGUAAGGUUUUUUAAAAGCUAGGCAAUAUCGGAAAGAAUAAUAUGAAUAUCUAGAGAGUAGACAGGAGGAGAAAGUGGUGAACAGUGUCAAAUAUUGCAUAGAAAUCAUGAACAAUUAAUAUUGAGCAAAGAUCCUUGGAUGUGUCAGUUAGGAGAUCAUUGUUAACUAUGGAAAGAACAGUUUCAAUUUAAUUAUAUCAGGGGCCAGAUUAUAUUAGGUUAAGAAGAAAAUAAGAAAAGAAAAAACAUUGAGUGUAGACUUCUUUCCCAUAAAGUUUCCUAUGAAGAGGAAGACAGAUAUAAGGAUGUGGCAGGAUAAGAGGUACUUUUGUAAUCUUUUUUUAAAAUAAUAUUUUAUUUAAUCAUUUCCAAGCAUUAUUCAUUAAAGACAAAGAUCAUUUUCUUUUCCUUCCCCCCACCCCCCAUAACCCAUUGUCAUGUUGUUAGUAUUUGCAUUAGAGUGUUCGUUUAGAGUCUCUCCUCUGUCAUGUCCCCUCAACUGCUGUAGUUGGGCAGUUGCUUUUCCUCGGUGUUUCUACUCCCACAGUUUAUCCUCUGCUUAUGAAUAGUGUUUUUUCUCCUAGAUCCCUGCAGAUUGUUCAGGGACAUUACACCGCUACUAAUGGAGAAGUCCAUUAUGUUCGAUUAUACCACAGUGUAUUAGUCUCUGUGUACAAUGUUCUCCUGGUUAAGAGGUACUUUUUAAAGGAUGGGGAGACAUGGAAAUGUCUAUAGGCCUACCAGAAAGAAAGAACAGACAUGGAGAAAUUAAAGAUUUUUUUACAUGGGUGAAAUUUUCUUGAUAAAUCUAGAAAGGAGAGGAGAGGACAAGGAUGAAUAUAGAGGACUUGGUGUUAGCAAAGAGAAACAUCACCUCUUCAUCUGAGGAAGUAGGAGAUAAAUGGGAGAAGUGAUUGAAUGAUAUGAAAUGUAGAGAAAGGUAGAAGAUGAAACUCUUGGUAAAUGGUCUCAUUUUUUAAGCAAAAUCUAAAGGGAAGUCCUCAGGAGAGAAGGAAUGGGAGAGAAUACUGAGCAAGCCUUGAAGAGAGACAAAUACACUUGGGAUAGCUGGUGUGGAGAUAAGGGGAAAGGAUCUAUUUGGGAGGAACAAAAUGUUUACCUUACUCCAGUAAGUGUCCAGUUAAGACGAGAUAACAUAAAUUUAUAGUGGGCCCAGUCAAUAGUUUCUUUAUUUCCUUUAAUUUUGUUCAGUAGCAAAUGAAGAGGAUCAAAGGAGAUAGAUGGUGGGAGUAAUCCAGAACUUGAGUUCAGUAAGGUGUGAUCAAUGACAAGGCAGCAUGGGGAUUGAGUCUAGAGAAUGCAGAGUUGAAUUGAUCAGCCAGGGAGUUUAGAUAGGGAAGGGAAGAGAGUGUAAACCACUCAGGGAUAAUAAUAUGAAAAAGAAUUGCUAGAAAGAAGGAAUAUCAAAUAUAGGAAGAAAGGAGUAAAGAAAAUAAAGGAAAGAAAGAAAGGAAUCAUCAAAUACAGGGAAAGAUAGAAGUAAAAAGGAUUAUAAAAUAAAGGAACUUCAGAGUUUGCAAACAGAGAAGUGGCAGACUUGUGGGUAUGAUAAUCUUUGGGUAACUGAGGUAGAAAAGGAGUAGGUAAUAGCCAAUGACCUACUAUUAAGAAACUGAAGUUAGGCUAUUCAAGAGAGUACCAUUAUGCACCUUCAAGUCCCCUACUGUGGAAGUAAAUGUUGGGACAGAGAGAAAGGACUUGAUUAAGGUACUGAAUUCCUUGAAGAAGGAAAAAAAAUAUGCCCCAGAGGUUAGUAGAUAACAAUGACCAAUAGCUGGACUAGGUGAUAAAUUAGCACAAACCUUAUAAAAAUAGCAUGAAACUCAAAGAAGAGUUUUAGUGUAGAGCUCAGUGAAGGUUGUAGGUAUGAAAGUACCUGCAAGUAGCAAAGAAUUUUCUAACUCCCCCAUUUUAAUGAGUGAGUGUGUGUGUGUGUGUGUGUGUGUGUGUGUGUGUGUGUGUGUGUGUGUGUGUGUGCCAGUGUGAGAGAGUAGUUAGACUGGAAGGGGUAUCUUGAUGAGGGAGCCAUGUCUCAGAGAUGUCCAGGAGAUAGAAACAUUAAGGAAGUUCUAUGACUUAUGGAGUAGGCAUUCUAGAAGGCACAAUGGAAGGAACCAUUAAAUCUGGAAUGGGACAUUGAGGUAGAGGAGAUGGUGUUGAGGGAGCAGAUAGUUGAGUAAGGGGAAUAGGGUUUGUCUAUUAGCACCUGGGGGGGGUUCAGAAUCACUGCAAAGGGGUGAGAAUAAGGGGAUGGUAAUAUGUAACUGAGUCCAGGUGAAAGGCUCAGUAGCUGGAGAGAAGUUCACUGAGUUUCCUUCCAGCUCUCAAUCCUAUAAUCCUCUGAGAGGUGCUCAAGGCUGCUGUCAGGUUCCAGUACACCACAAGAUGGCAGUGCUACCCCAGAAGAGACAAACCAGAGACUACCCAAAGCAGCCACGGGAUGCUCCUGGACCCUGCUUGGGAAAGGAGUCAGAAUCUGAGACAAUGAUAACUCUUCUCUAGUCUCUCUCCUAAAAGACCUGAAGCUGAAAGACAAUUUUGAGAUUAUCUGAUCCAAUCCCUUUCAUUUACCAGAUGAAGAAACUGAGGAUGAAAGAGUUGCGGGUUUGCCCAAGCUCACAGUGGUGGAGUGGGUGUUCCAUCUUCCCUGAUUUCCAUCAAACAAACACUCAAGCUCAACCUAUACUGAAUGGUCUGUGAGGUCCUGAAAAUUAAUUUUUUAAUGAUCAUUUACUUUCUUUCACUUCCAUAAAAGAAAAAAGAUAUUGUAACAAAUAUAUAUGUAUGCAUGUGUGCAUAUAUAGCGAUACAUAGAUACAUGCAUGCACACGAGACAAAUUCCCACAUUGGCUGUGCUCCAUAAGGUGUAUCUCCUUCUUGAUACUGUUUAUCAUCUCUCUGUCAAGAGGUAUGUAACACUCUCUGUAAUUGGUUCUCUGGAAUUUUAAUGAAGCAAAAUACAAAUUAACGGGCAGGGGGCAAGGCAGGGGAGCUGUGCCAGGGAGCCAGACUCUGACUAUGCUAUAUCCUUAGGAUUAAGGGACUCAAAUUAAAGUGGGAGAUGGAAGCAAAGAAAAUCAUUUCAGCCUGCCUUAGGGUAGCCUUGGUUUUGAGGCAUUUUGCUAAUAGAAGAUAAACUCCAUGUCCACUCUAACGCAGGACUUGUGGCAGCUCUUGGCUUUUCAUUGCCCAUUUCUCCAUUUCAAAUACUCUUGGCUCUCUUCUUUGCCCGCCUGUAGCUAGCUCAUCCUGCAAAGCUCCAGUUUUUUCUUUCUCAGGAAGCCUUUCUUGAAUAACUUCAUUUCUCUUGAAUUACUCCUUAAUCUCAGGGGGUCCUCAGCACCCCAGGGCUCAGUUAUACCACAUCGAUUUAAUUCAACAAGUGAUGCUCUUUGACUACUGUCUCUAAUUGCUCUGUGGAACCAGGGUAGUUGGUGCUUUUCUAGUGGAUAGUAGUGCUUGAGCCUUGAGGUGGGAAGGUUCGAUGGCCCUGUAUCCCCAAAGAGAGAAAGUUCUCUCAAUAGCUUUGGUGGAUGUAAGAGCACCUGGUUGGGGAGGCAUUUCUAUAGGAGUGUUUUUAGAGGUUUGGAGAUGGGAAAGGAUGCUGAUGUAUGAAUUGGUGGUAAAAAAAGGGAUUGACCAUCAUUUGAAGUAUAGCCUGGUUGAGCAGAGGUUAGUAAGCUACAUGCUUUCUGAGGUACAUAGGAUUGGAGGAACGGUGUGGAAAGACUCAGCCAUAAAACUUGUAGCAUGUUUAUCCUUUGUUAUGUCAUCACUGUGGUAGGCAAGGGUUAUUCAUGGGUUUUAGCAUCAAUCUGGGUCAUGUCUCAAGUUGCAGUAGAGCAUUGACUUGCUCCCUCUCAACCUGACUAUAGAAAGAAGUUUAAGCAAGGAUAAAACUGGGCUAUCAGAUUAGUUUAUUGUGGCCUGUCUGAAUGUAUCAGCUGGUACCACUACACACCCAUACCCUGGGCUUCCUAAUGCUAAGACUAUAAUGAAUGCCUUAGGGAUAUGGAUCCUUUUUUCUUGGUUUUCAUAUGUUUCCUCACUCAUCUUUGUCCUCUAAUGUCUACUAAAGUGUGUGGUUACACAGAGAAGAUCCAAUAAGUAUUAAUGAAAGGAUAAGCAGCUUGGAUGUUCCACUAAGGGCAUAUUUAGUUCCUAGGAAAUAGCAAAUUGACUCCAUAAGUGACUACAUUCUCUCUGGUUAUAUAAGCCUGUAAUGAGUGCCACAGAGGAUGUGGAUCAUGUUAUUUUGGUUUUCAUGUGUUUCCUCACUCAUCUUUGCCUUCUAGUGUAUGCUAAAGUGUGCGAUUACACAGAGAAGAUCCAAGAAGUGUUAAGGAAAGAACGAGCAGCUUGGAUGAUCCACUAACGGGAUAUUUAGUCCCUGGAAAAUAGAAAAUUGACUCUAUCAUUGACUACAUUCUUUCUAGUUAUAUGUAUAUUCAGUUUCUGUAAAUUACCUCAUGCUUAAAUCGCCUGCAUGGGAACUUACCAAUUAAAGGAAUCCUAAAUGAAAGGA